rnacentral:rRNA from 1 species
UGUUCGGGUUGUCAUGCCAAUGGCAUUGCCCGGUAGCUAAGUGCGGAAGAGAUAACCGCUGAUAGCAUCUAAGCGGGAAACUUGCCUCGAGAUGAGUCUUCCCUGUCACCUUGAGUGACCUAAAGGAACGUUUAAGACUUAGACGUUGAUAGGCUGGGUGUGUAAGCGUAGCGAUACGUUGAGCUAACCAGUACUAAUGAAACGUGAGGCUUAACCUG